AGCGAACGCUGGCGGCAGGCCUAACACAUGCAAGUCGAACGAACCUUUCGGGGUUAGUGGCGGACGGGUGAGUAACACGUGGGAACGUGCCUUUAGGUUCAGAAUAACUCAGGGAAACUUGUGCUAAUACCGAAUGUGCCCUUCGGGGGAAAGAUUUAUCGCCUUUAGAGCGGCCCGCGUCUGAUUAGCUAGUUGGUUGAGGUAAUGGCUCACCAAGGCGACGAUCAGUAGCUGGUCUGAGAGGAUGAUCCGCCACAUUGGGACUGAGACGCGGCACAAACUCCUACGGGAGGCAGCAGUGGGGAAUCUUGCGCAAUGGGCGAAAGCCUGACGCAGCCAUGCCGCGUGAAUGAUGAAGGUCUUAGGAUUGUAAAAUUCUUUCACCGGGGACGAUAAUGACGGUACCCGGAGAAGAAGCCCCGGCUAACUUCGUG
rnacentral:rRNA from 1 species